rnacentral:tRNA from 1 species
GCUCCCGUGGUGUAGAGGCCAAGCAUCAAGCCCUCUCGCGGCUUGGACACGAGUUCGAAUCUCGUCGGGAGCA